rnacentral:rRNA from 1 species
UACGUAGGGUGCGAGCGUUUGUCCGGAAUUAUUGGGCGUAAAGGGCUCGUAGGCGGUUUGUCGCGUCGGGAGUGAAAACCCAGGGCUUAACUCUGGGCUUGCUUUCGAUACGGGCAGACUAGAGGUAUGCAGGGGAGAACGGAAUUCCUGGUGUAGCGGUGAAAUGCGCAGAUAUCAGGAGGAACACCGGUGGCGAAGGCG